rnacentral:lncRNA from 1 species
AUGGAUGCCAAGCUUGUGACUGGCAAGGCUGAGGAGCCUGCCAAGGUCAAUGAGAAGAAGACACAAAGGAACAGAUCAAGAGCCAAUUCUUGACAGUUGAGUUUUCUAAAUAGGUUCAAAAACUCGUAUCAAGGGCGACAUUCUUGAAAGCCAAGGCUUUUGAUUUGAAAUCUUUUUUUUUUUUUUCACUUCAGAAGAGUAAAUAAAUCCUGGAAGGAGCUGAAGAACAAAACAGUGCUCCCAACCCCAGCACGGAGAAGGACUCCUCUUUUCUUUAAUUCAAUUUUGCUAUAACAGAAAAAUUUAAAAAGUGAGAGAAUAGUAAAAUGGCCUGACGUUCUCACCAUUUAAUUUGGAACACGUGUUGACCCUGGCCUCGUCUUUUCUCAUCUCUUUCUGACUCUCUCCACCAUGUGGAUGAUCUCAUACUUUAUCUGCAGGUGCUUCUGUGACCUUAAUAUAGGACUUUAGAAGACACAACUCUAGAGCUGGAGAGAUGGCUGACUGGAUAAACUGCCACCAAAGACUGGAACCCAAGUUCUAGUCCUAGAUUCCAUGUAAAGAUAGGAGGAGAGAGCUGAAUCCUGAAAAUUUUUCUCUAACCUCCAUAUGUGUGUUUCUCUCUCUCUCUCUCUCUCACACACACACACGUUCAUACUCACACGUGCAUGCACACCUGUUAAUAAUAAUAAGCAAAAAGUUAAAAAAGAAAUCACAACCCUAAUAUAAUUGUGCCUAAAGAUGAUUAAUUAUAAUUAG